rnacentral:lncRNA from 1 species
CUCUCUCUCCUCUCCUCUCCUCCUUCUCCUCCAUUUUUCAUAAUAGUUUUAGUUUUCUUUUGGGUAUUCAUAGAAUUUCUCACACAAGUUUCAAGGAUUCAUCAAAAGCUACAAGAUUCAAGCUUUAGGUAUUUGUGGGAGUUGUAAUUCAAGGGAAGUCAUAUUAGCUUCCUAGCUAAUUGUGGCUACCUUUGUGUUCUCCUACACUUCUAUAAUCUUUUCUCUUUGAAUUUUGUAUCUUUGAUGUUCAUAGUUAUGGGUUGUGAGUAAUUUCUUUGUUGGGAGUUAGGGUUGUGAAGCCCUAACUCAUCUUGUAUAAAUAUUGAUGCUUUAAUUUUAAUAAAUGCAAUUUUCAUUGUAUUGA